UACGUAGGGUGCAAGCGUUAAUCGGAAUUACUGGGCGUAAAGCGUGCGCAGGCGGUUAUGUAAGACAGGUGUGAAAUCCCCGGGCUUAACCUGGGAACUGCAUUUGUGACUGCAAGGCUAGAGUGUGUCAGAGGGAGGUGGAAUUCCGCGUGUAGCAGUGAAAUGCGUAGAGAUGCGGAGGAACACCGAUGGCGAAGGCAGGUCUCUGGGCCACUACUGACGCUGAGAAGCGAAAGCAUGGGGAGCGAACAGG
rnacentral:rRNA from 1 species